AUUGAACGCUGGCGGCAGGCCUAACACAUGCAAGUCGAACGAGUGGCGGACGGGUGAGUAAUGUCUGGGAAACUGCCUGAUGGAGGGGGAUAACUACUGGAAACGGUAGCUAAUACCGCAUACCAUCAGAUGUGCCCAGGUGGGAUUAGCUAGGUUGUGGGGUAACGGCGCACCAAGGAGACGAUACCUAGCUGGUCUUAGAGGAUGACCAGCCACACGGGAAAUGAGACACGGCCCAGACUCCUACGGGAGGCAGCAUGGGGGAAUAGUGCACAAGGGGCGCAAGCAGGAUGCAGCAAGGCGGCGUGGAUGAAGAAGGCCUUCGGGUUGUAAAGUACUUUCAGCGGGGAGGCGUUACCCGCAGAAGAAGCACCGGCUAACUCCGUGCCAGCAGCCGCGGUAAUUC
rnacentral:rRNA from 1 species